rnacentral:misc_RNA from 1 species
GGUUUGAUUAUAAGCUCCAGAUUGAACGCUGGCGGGAUGCUUUACAUGCAAGUCGAACGGCAGCACGGACUUCGGUCUGGUGGCGAGUGGCGAACGGGUGAGUAAUGUAUCGGAACGUGCCUAGUAGCGAGGAUAACUACGCGAAGCGUAGCUAAUACCGCAUGCGCCCUUCGGGGAAAGCGGGGGACCUUCGGGCCUCGCACUAUUAAACGGCCGAUAUCGGAUUGGCCUAGUUGGUGGGGUAACGGCUCACCAAGGCGACGAUCCAGCUGGUUUGAGAGGACGACCAGCCACACUGGGACGAGACACGGCCCAGACUCCUACGGGAGGCAGCAGUGGGAAUUUUGGACAAUGGGGAAACCCUGAUCAGCAUCCCGCGUGUGCGAUGAAGGCCUUCGGGUUGUAAAGCACUUUUGGCAGGAAAGAAACAGCGCAGGAUAAUACCCCGGUAGUGCAACUGACGACACCUGCAGAAUAAGCACCGGCUAACUACGUGCCAGCAGCCGCGGUAAUACGUAGUGCAAGCGUUAAUCGGAAUUACUGAGGCGUAAAGCGUGCGCAGGCGGUUCGGAAAGAAAAGAUGUGAAAUCCAGAGCUUAACUUUGGAACUGCAUUUUUAACUACCGAGCUAGAGUGUGUCAGAGGAGGUGGAAUUCCGCGUGUAGCAGUGAAAUGCGUAGAUAUGCGGAGGGGAACACCGAUAGCGAAGGCAGCCUCCUGGGAUAACACUGACGCUCAUGCACGAAAAGCGUGGGGAGCAAACAGGAUUAGAUACCCUGGUAGUCCACGCCCUAAACGAUCAUCAAAACUAGCUGUUGGGGCCUUCGGGCCUUGGUAGUAGCUAACGCGUGAAGUUGACCGCCGCCUGGGGAGUACGGUCGCAAGAUUAAAACUCAAAGGAAUUGACGGGGACCCGCACAAGCGGUGGAUGGCGUGGAUUAAUUCGAUGCAACGCGAAAAACCUUACCUACCCUUGACAUGUCUGGGAUCCCGAAGAGAUUUGGGGUGCUCGCAAGAGAACCGGAACACAGGUGCUGCAUGGCUGUCGUCAGCUCGUGUCGUGAGAUGUUGAGUUAAGUCCACAACGAGCGCAACCCUUGUCGUGGAUUGCUACGAAAGGGCACUCUAUUAGGACUGCCGGUGACAAACCGGAGGAAGGUGGGGAUGACGUCAAGUCCUCAUGGCCAUAUGGGUGGGGCUUCAUACGUCAUACAAUGG